GGGUUGUGAGGUUAAGCGACUAAGCGUACACGGUGGAUGCCCUGGCAGUCAGAGGCGAUGAAGGACGUGCUAAUCUGCGAAAAGCGACGGCGAGGUGAUAUGAACCUUUGACCCGUCGAUGUCCGAAUGGGGAAACCCAGUGUGUUUCGACACACUAUCGUUAACUGAAUACAUAGGUUAACGAGGCGAACCGGGGGAACUGAAACAUCUAAGUACCCCGAGGAAAAGAAAUCAACCGAGAUUCCCCCAGUAGCGGCGAGCGAACGGGGAGCAGCCCGGAGUCUGAAUCAGCUUGUGUGUUAGUGGAAGCGUCUGGAAAGUCGCACGGUACAGGGUGACAGUCCCGUACACGAAAAUGCACAGGUUGUGAACUCGAAGAGUAGGGCGGGACACGUGGUAUCCUGUCUGAAUAUGGGGGGACCAUCCUCCAAGGCUAAAUACUCCUGACUGACCGAUAGUGAACCAGUACCGUGAGGGAAAGGCGAAAAGAACCCCGGCGAGGGGAGUGAAAAAGAACCUGAAACCGUGUACGUACAAGCAGUGGGAGCACCUUCGUGGUGUGACUGCGUACCUUUUGUAUAAUGGGUCAGCGACUUAUAUUCUGUAGCAAGGUUAACCGUAUAGGGGAGCCGCAGGGAAACCGAGUCUUAACUGGGCGUUAAGUUGCAGGGUAUAGACCCGAAACCCGGUGAUCUAGCCAUGGGCAGGUUGAAGGUUGGGUAACACUAACUGGAGGACCGAACCGACUAAUGUUGAAAAAUUAGCGGAUGACCUGUGGCUGGGGGUGAAAGGCCAAUCAAACCGGGAGAUAGCUGGUUCUCCCCGAAAGCUAUUUAGGUAGCGCCUCGUGAACUCAUCUUCGGGGGUAGAGCACUGUUUCGGCUAGGGGGCCAUCCCGGCUUACCAACCCGAUGCAAACUACGAAUACCGAAGAAUGUUAUCACGGGAGACACACGGCGGGUGCUAACGUCCGUCGUGAAGAGGGAAACAACCCAGACCGCCAGCUAAGGUCCCAAAGUCAUGGUUAAGUGGGAAACGAUGUGGGAAGGCACAGACAGCCAGGAUGUUGGCUUAGAAGCAGCCAUCAUUUAAAGAAAGCGUAAUAGCUCACUGGUCGAGUCGGCCUGCGCGGAAGAUGUAACGGGGCUAAACCAUGCACCGAAGCUGCGGCAGCGACACUAUGUGUUGUUGGGUAGGGGAGCGUUCUGUAAGCCGUUGAAGGUGUGCUGUGAGGCAUGCUGGAGGUAUCAGAAGUGCGAAUGCUGACAUAAGUAACGAUAAAGCGGGUGAAAAGCCCGCUCGCCGGAAGACCAAGGGUUCCUGUCCAACGUUAAUCGGGGCAGGGUGAGUCGACCCCUAAGGCGAGGCCGAAAGGCGUAGUCGAUGGGAAACAGGUUAAUAUUCCUGUACUUGGUGUUACUGCGAAGGGGGGACGGAGAAGGCUAUGUCAGCCGGGCGACGGUUGUCCCGGUUUAAGCGUGUAGGUGUGUGUUCCAGGCAAAUCCGGUUCACUUUAACACUGAGGCGUGAUGACGAGGCACUACGGUGCUGAAGUGAUAAAUGCCCUGCUUCCAGGAAAAGCCUCUAAGCAUCAGGUAACACGAAAUCGUACCCCAAACCGACACAGGUGGUCAGGUAGAGAAUACCAAGGCGCUUGAGAGAACUCGGGUGAAGGAACUAGGCAAAAUGGUGCCGUAACUUCGGGAGAAGGCACGCUGAUAUGUAGGUGAAGCCCCUGCGGGCGGAGCUGAAAUCAGUCGAAGAUACCAGCUGGCUGCAACUGUUUAUUAAAAACACAGCACUGUGCAAACACGAAAGUGGACGUAUACGGUGUGACGCCUGCCCGGUGCCGGAAGGUUAAUUGAUGGGGUUAGCGGCAACGCGAAGCUCUUGAUCGAAGCCCCGGUAAACGGCGGCCGUAACUAUAACGGUCCUAAGGUAGCGAAAUUCCUUGUCGGGUAAGUUCCGACCUGCACGAAUGGCGUAAUGAUGGCCAGGCUGUCUCCACCCGAGACUCAGUGAAAUUGAACUCGCUGUGAAGAUGCAGUGUACCCGCGGCAAGACGGAAAGACCCCGUGAACCUUUACUAUAGCUUGACACUGAACACUGGUCCUUGAUGUGUAGGAUAGGUGGGAGGCUUUGAAGCGUGGACGCCAGUCUGCGUGGAGCCGUCCUUGAAAUACCACCCUUUAAUGGCUGGUGUUCUAACGUGGACCCGUGAUCCGGGUUGCGGACAGUGUCUGGUGGGUAGUUUGACUGGGGCGGUCUCCUCCCAAAGAGUAACGGAGGAGCACGAAGGUUAGCUAAUCCUGGUCGGACAUCAGGAGGUUAGUGCAAUGGCAUAAGCUAGCUUGACUGCGAGAGUGACGGCUCGAGCAGGUGCGAAAGCAGGUCAUAGUGAUCCGGUGGUUCUGAAUGGAAGGGCCAUCGCUCAACGGAUAAAAGGUACUCCGGGGAUAACAGGCUGAUACCGCCCAAGAGUUCAUAUCGACGGCGGUGUUUGGCACCUCGAUGUCGGCUCAUCACAUCCUGGGGCUGAAGUAGGUCCCAAGGGUAUGGCUGUUCGCCAUUUAAAGUGGUACGCGAGCUGGGUUUAGAACGUCGUGAGACAGUUCGGUCCCUAUCUGCCGUGGGCGCUGGAGAAUUGAGGGGGGCUGCUCCUAGUACGAGAGGACCGGAGUGGACGCAUCACUGGUGUUCGGGUUGUCAUGCCAAUGGCACUGCCCGGUAGCUAAAUGCGGAAGAGAUAAGUGCUGAAAGCAUCUAAGCACGAAACUUGCCCCGAGAUGAGUUCUCCCUGAGACUUUAAGUCUCCUGAAGGAACGUUGAAGACGACGACGUUGAUAGGCCGGGUGUGUAAGCGCAGCGAUGCGUUGAGCUAACCGGUACUAAUGAACCGUGAGGCUUAACCUUACAACGCCGAAGCUGUU
rnacentral:rRNA from 1 species